rnacentral:rRNA from 1 species
UUUCCGGUUGAUCCUGCCGGAGGCCAUUGCUAUCGGAGUCCGAUUUAGCCAUGCUAGUCGAGCGAGGUUAGCCCUCGCGGCGAACAGCUCAGUAACACGUGGCCAAGCUACCCUGCAGAGGGGGACAGCGUCGGGAAACUGACGGGAAUCCCCCAUACCGGUCUCACGCUGGAAUGCCGAGACCGACAAAUGCUCCGGCGCUGCAGGAUGCGGCUGCGGCCGAUUAGGUAGUCGGUGGGGUAACGGCCCACCGAGCCGAUAAUUGGUACGGGGUGUGAGAGCACGAGCCCGGAGACGGAAUCUGAGACAAGAUUCCGGGCCCUACGGGGCGCAGCAGGCGCGAAACCUUUACACUGCACGAAGGUGCGAUAAGGGGACUCCGAGUGCGAGGGCAUACAGUCCUCGCUAUUGUGUACCGUAGGGUGGUACACGACCAAGAGCUGGGCAAGACCGGUGCCAGCCGCCGCGGUAAUACCGGCAGCUCGAGUGAUGGCCGAUUUUAUUGGGCCUAAAGCGUCCGUAGCUGGCCCUGCAAGUCCGUCGGGAAAUCCACUCGCCUAACGAGUGGGCGUCCGGCGGAAACUACAGGGCUUGGGACCGGAAGACUUGAGGGGUACGUCUGGGGUAGGAGUGAAAUCCUGUAAUCCUGGACGGACCGCCGAUGGCGAAAGCACCUCAAGACGACGGAUCCGACAGUGAGGGACGAAAGCUAGGGUCUCGAACCGGAUUAGAUACCCGGGUAGUCCUAGCCGUAAACGAUGUUCGCUAGAUGUGGCACAGGCUACGUGCCUGUGCUGUGUCGUAGGGAAGCCGAGAAGCGAACCGCCUGGGAAGUACGUCCGCAAGGAUGAAACUUAAAGGAAUUGGCGGGGGAGCACUACAACCGGAGGAGCCUGCGGUUUAAUUGGAGUCAACGCCGGAA